rnacentral:lncRNA from 1 species
CAUUCGCAAUGGCAUGAGCCAGUGUGGUCUUGCCGCAGCCAUAUCAGAUAGUCCGGCAGCAAAAUCCUCGUCUAUGGCCUCGACGCAGCCCCUAAAGCGACUGGAUAUUAUGUGCGGAAGUAAAACUUGCAUAUUCAGCUCAUCGUCAUCUUGAUCAUCAGUCACCAACACCAAUCCUCGAUCAAAGGAUUUUCUCAACGCGUCGAUUCAACGUAGUGCUUGACACGAGCGUAAUCGGAAAAUAUCGAGCAGGAAUACUCCAUUUCGUCGGAUGUUGAGUCCUCGUGCUUGCAGCAAAGCAUUCGAGCACUUAAAAUUUUGAGGCUAACUACAGAAGAAUAUGAUCUCCCAUGGCCGCCGUGUUCCUUGUCCAUCUCUCCUCUCCUCUCCUCUCCGUAGGUUGUGUAUAUUUGGUUGAAAGAUAAACCAUCCCCAAAUCGCUUUUCCCGCUGAAACGAAAAUGAAUCAUUUUGAAUCCCAAUGCCGAUCCCUUUCUGUUCCCGCCCCUUAUAUAUGCUGGUUAAAAUUAUUAUUUUAAUAUCUCAUUUUAAAAAUUAAAAAAAAAAACACAUUUUUUUAUACUAAAUUAGUAUUUUAAUAUCUCAAUUUUAAUUAUUAAAUAUAAAAAGUAUUUUUUAUUAUAAUUUAUUUCUCCUAAUCCAAAAUCG